rnacentral:rRNA from 1 species
AUUGAACGCUGGCGGCAUGCCUUACACAUGCAAGUCGAACGGCAGCACGGGAGCAAUCCUGGUGGCGAGUGGCGAACGGGUGAGUAAUAUAUCGGAACGUGCCCAGUAGUGGGGGAUAGCCCGGCGAAAGCCGGAUUAACACCGCAUACGACCUGAGGGUGAAAGCGGGGGAUCGCAAGACCUCGCGCUAUUGGAGCGGCCGAUAUCAGAUUAGCUUGUUGGUGGGGUAAAAGCCUACCAAGGCGACGAUCUGUAGCUGGUCUGAGAGGACGACCAGCCACACUGGGACUGAGACACGGCCAAGACUCCUACGGGAGGCAGCAGUGGGGAAUUUUGGACAAGGGGCGCAAGCCUGAUCCAGCCAUGCCGCGUGCGGGAAGAAGGCCUUCGGGUUGUAAACCGCUUUUGUCAGGGAAGAAACGGCUCUUGAUAAUACCGAGAGCUAAUGACGGUACCUGAAGAAUAAGCACCGGCUAACUACGUGCCAGCAGCCGCAGUAAAAC